rnacentral:rRNA from 1 species
UACGUAGGGGGCAAGCGUUGUCCGGAUUUAUUGGGCGUAAAGAGCGUGUAGGCGGCCAAACAGGUCAGCUGUGAAAAACUCGAGGCUCAACCUCGAGACGUCGGUUGAAACCGUUUUGGCUAGAGUCCGGAAGAGGAGAGUGGAAUUCCCGGUGUAGCGGUGAAAUGCGCAGAUAUCGGGAAGAACACCCGUGGCGAAGGCGGCUCUCUGGGACGGUACUGACGCUGAGACGCGAAAGCGUGGGGAGCGAACAGG